rnacentral:lncRNA from 1 species
AGCAUGAGGUUAUCAGCACAGGAGAACUGAGAUACUUUGGUGAAAGUUACUGGAUAUGGCCCACAUUUCCUGGUGAAAUACCUUCUGCGGCUUGUGUGUCUGGAGCAAGGCAAAGACCAGGGAGAGGAUCAAAAAGGAGGUUGUGAUACAGGAGAAACUUGUAUAUUUGAUUUAAAAAGUCAGCUGUUCUCCUGAAGAAGGACUGCAGCCUUAUGCAAGAGGGCAUCAUGCAUACUGGUCCAUCCAGAGAGUAGCCAGCCAAAGUGCCAUAGGUUUCAAGCACCUUCUGAGAGUCCUGAAAGCUACCUUAGUAAUUUACUGAUGA